rnacentral:rRNA from 1 species
GAGCAAUCUGUGUGACUGCGUACCUUUUGUAUAAUGGGUCAGCGACUUAUAUUCUGUAGCAAGGUUAACCGAAUAGGGGAGCCGAAGGGAAACCGAGUCUUAACUGGGCGUUAAGUUGCAGGGUAUAGACCCGAAACCCGGUGAUCUAGCCAUGGGCAGGUUGAAGGUUGGGUAACACUAACUGGAGGACCGAACCGACUAAUGUUGAAAAAUUAGCGGAUGACUUGUGGCUGGGGGUGAAAGGCCAAUCAAACCGGGAGAUAGCUGGUUCUCCCCGAAAGCUAUUUAGGUAGCGCCUCGUGAAUUCAUCUCCGGGGGUAGAGCACUGUUUCGGCAAGGGGGUCAUCCCGACUUACCAACCCGAUGCAAACUGCGAAUACCGGAGAAUGUUAUCACGGGAGACACACGGCGGGUGCUAACGUCCGUCGUGAAGAGGGAAACAACCCAGACCGCCAGCUAAGGUCCCAAAGUCAUGGUUAAGUGGGAAACGAUGUGGGAAGGCCCAGACAGCCAGGAUGUUGGCUUAGAAGCAGCCAUCAUUUAAAGAAAGCGUAAUAGCUCACUGGUCGAGUCGGCCUGCGCGGAAGAUGUAACGGGGCUAAACCAUGCACCGAAGCUGCGGCAGCGACGCUGAUGCGUUGUUGGGUAGGGGAGCGUUCUGUAAGCCUGCGAAGGUGUGCUGUGAGGCAUGCUGGAGGUAUCAGAAGUGCGAAUGCUGACAUAAGUAACGAUAAAGCGGGUGAAAAGCCCGCUCGCCGGAAGACCAAGGGUUCCUGUCCAACGUUAAUCGGGGCAGGGUGAGUCGACCCCUAAGGCGAGGCCGAAAGGCGUAGUCGAUGGGAAACAGGUUAAUAUUCCUGUACUUGGUGUUACUGCGAAGGGGGGACGGAGAAGGCUAUGUUGGCCGGGCGACGGUUGUCCCGGUUUAAGCGUGUAGGCUGGUUUUCCAGGCAAAUCCGGAAAACUAAGGCUGAGGCGUGAUGACGAGGCACUACGGUGCUGAAGCAACAAAUGCCCUGCUUCCAGGAAAAGCCUCUAAGCAUCAGGUAACAUCAAAUCGUACCCCAAACCGACACAGGUGGUCAGGUAGAGAAUACCAAGGCGCUUGAGAGAACUCGGGUGAAGGAACUAGGCAAAAUGGUGCCGUAACUUCGGGAGAAGGCACGCUGAUAUGUAGGUGAAGCGACUUGCUCGUGGAGCUGAAAUCAGUCGAAGAUACCAGCUGGCUGCAACUGUUUAUUAAAAACACAGCACUGUGCAAACACGAAAGUGGACGUAUACGGUGUGACGCCUGCCCGGUGCCGGAAGGUUAAUUGAUGGGGUCAGCGCAAGCGAAGCUCUUGAUCGAAGCCCCGGUAAACGGCGGCCGUAACUAUAACGGUCCUAAGGUAGCGAAAUUCCUUGUCGGGUAAGUUCCGACCUGCACGAAUGGCGUAAUGAUGGCCAGGCUGUCUCCACCCGAGACUCAGUGAAAUUGAACUCGCUGUGAAGAUGCAGUGUACCCGCGGCAAGACGGAAAGACCCCGUGAACCUUUACUAUAGCUUGACACUGAACAUUGAGCCUUGAUGUGUAGGAUAGGUGGGAGGCUUUGAAGUGUGGACGCCAGUCUGCAUGGAGCCGACCUUGAAAUACCACCCUUUAAUGUUUGAUGUUCUAACGUGGACCCGUAAUCCGGGUUGCGGACAGUGUCUGGUGGGUAGUUUGACUGGGGCGGUCUCCUCCUAAAGAGUAACGGAGGAGCACGAAGGUUGGCUAAUCCUGGUCGGACAUCAGGAGGUUAGUGCAAUGGCAUAAGCCAGCUUGACUGCGAGCGUGACGGCGCGAGCAGGUGCGAAAGCAGGUCAUAGUGAUCCGGUGGUUCUGAAUGGAAGGGCCAUCGCUCAACGGAUAAAAGGUACUCCGGGGAUAACAGGCUGAUACCGCCCAAGAGUUCAUAUCGACGGCGGUGUUUGGCACCUCGAUGUCGGCUCAUCACAUCCUGGGGCUGAAGUAGGUCCCAAGGGUAUGGCUGUUCGCCAUUUAAAGUGGUACGCGAGCUGGGUUUAGAACGUCGUGAGACAGUUCGGUCCCUAUCUGCCGUGGGCGCUGGAGAACUGAGGGGGGCUGCUCCUAGUACGAGAGGACCGGAGUGGACGCAUCACUGGUGUUCGGGUUGUCAUGCCAAUGGCACUGCCCGGUAGCUAAAUGCGGAAGAGAUAAGUGCUGAAAGCAUCUAAGCACGAAACUUGCCCCGAGAUGAGUUCUCCCUGACUCCUUGAGAGUCCUGAAGGAACGUUGAAGACGACGACGUUGAUAGGCCGGGUGUGUAAGCGCAGCGAUGCGUUGAGCUAACCGGUACUAAUGAACCGUGAGGCUUAACCUU